GUUUUUCUCCCCGCUUGAUUCUCAGGUAUGCUCUGAAUGUUGCGAUUUUGUCUUCAUCUUGAAUCUUCUUUUCUCACGGUAUAAAGGUCACCGCGUUUUACCUAUUCGAAGAUGUCAGGUUUACCGGCGCGGCGGGGAAGCAGCGCCUUCGAGGAUUGGUGUCUAAGAAAAUAGCCGGAAUUGUAUUUAUGGGUUGGUUGAGAUUUUGGAUGUAAAAGGAGAUAUCGGGGGAUUGAGACCCCCCGAUUGAUCUUUUGUCAUCUCAGACCUUUGCCAUGUUGGGUGCGCUCGCAUGGCAGGUCGCAAACUUAAUAAAAA